UUUAGGUUGCUUCUAGUGGGAGCUGGACUCUGAAGCUAUAGAUCACUUUUUGAGAAGUCCUAAAAAUAGCUUCUUCAUACCAAUUAAUUACUAAGCAAUCAAUUCACGAAUUCCUCUCUGUUUUGGAAGGUCACCUGAUUGGUAAGCAGCAGUGAUUUAGGCAGAUCAUUUCCUUUCAGUGGCUGGAGAACAUCAGAAUGGCAGAAGGAGCAGUUUCCUGCACACUACCUGCUGAUCUGCUGUUUCAGAUCGUGAAACAGGAGGUCCCUCUUUGCUGGCUGUAUGUAUUCAUAUUAACAUAUGUGGUAUUGCCUGGAACUUACACUGGACAGAAUUUGUUACUGCUCUGACGCAGGGCUGAACACACAUAGAGAGCUCUGCUCCAUUUUCAUCUUUUCUUACUUUACACAUACACUGACUGGGGCAAGUGACCUCACAAUCAUAACCUCACAAGUGGAACAGGAGGGGAAACAGGAAAAAGGAAUUUGUGAAAUCUGCCCAAACGGGUGGCUCAUGACAUUGUAUGACAUAACUAGCCAGGGACACCAAGGAGUGUGUUGGUUAUAAGACUGCCAGUGUAUAUUCUCAGAGCUCUGUGAGAUACUGAAAGCCCAACAGGGAGAUGCAGCUUUACACCACAGACUGAUUCGUGGCAGUUCAGAAACUCACAAACAUCCAAAUGCAAUCAAGAACUGUUACAGAGGCAUAGCACCAAGAGCAAUGCGACUGAUGAGCCAGUCCUCAAAAAGCUUUUAAAGAACAACAGUUCUAUCCACAGAAAUGUGUGCUAAUGCAGUCCUGGUGAAAACAGCAGUCUGCUACCUGAAGUUUCUCUUAAGAGUAAAAUGAAUGUUAGUUCUCAUUAGCUGAGCUUGGUUCGAGAGCUGGAAGAGUACCACUGCCAGAAUGAGCUGGAGACCAGUCAAAGACAGGAUAGAGCUGUGCAAUUAUCACAAGGGUAGGAAACGAGCAGGAAGAUGCUCCGAUGCAGAAAAGUAGUACCUGCUCCCUCCCCACUCUGAUUCCCCUUUCUUGUUAGGAUGAGUCUGAAGGACUACAUUUUGGGAAGAAUAGUAGAAUAGCUUAAAUAAAAAUACAAAAUUUCCUUCAAUAUAAUUGAAAAAC